rnacentral:rRNA from 1 species
UACGUAGGGGCCUAGCGUUGUCCGGAUUUAUUGGGCGUAAAGAGCUCGUAGGCGGUUCGGUAAGUCAGGUGUGAAAUCUCCACGCUCAACGUGGAGGCGCCACCUGAAACUGCCGUGACUCGAGUCCGGUAGGGGAGUGUGGAAUUCCUGGUGUAGCGGUGAAAUGCGUAGAUAUCUGGAGGAACACCGGUGGCGAAGGCGGCAUCCUGGACCGGCAUUGACGCUGAGGCGCGAAAGCUAGGGGAGCAAACGGG